rnacentral:rRNA from 1 species
GGGGAAUCUUGGACAAUGGGGGCAACCCUGAUCCAGCCAUGCCGCGUGAGUGAUGAAGGCCUUAGGGUCGUAAAGCUCUUUCGCCUGUGAUGAUAAUGACAGUAGCAGGUAAAGAAACCCCGGCUAACUCCGUGCCAGCAGCCGCGGUAAUACGGAGGGGGUUAGCGUUGUUCGGAAUUACUGGGCGUAAAGCGCGCGUAGGCGGAUUAGUCAGUUAGAGGUGAAAUCCCAGGGCUCAACCCUGGAACUGCCUUUAAUACUGCUAGUCUUGAGUUCGAGAGAGGUGAGUGGAAUUCCGAGUGUAGAGGUGAAAUUCGUAGAUAUUCGGAGGAACACCAGUGGCGAAGGCGGCUCACUGGCUCGAUACUGACGCUGAGGUGCGAAAGUGUGGGGAGCAAAC